rnacentral:tRNA from 1 species
AGAGAAUUUGUUGGAUUUAUCUAACAUAUUUAAAAGAAGUAGUGACCUUUACAGCGACUUGUGACAAAAAUUUUAUUCACAAGCUGUCAUCUUAUUAUAUAUUGUAUAAUACCAAGCACAAAUAUAGUAGAGUCUCGUAGCUCAGCUGGUUAGAGCGCUACACUGAUAAUGUAGAGGUCGGCAGUUCGAGCCUGCCCGAGACUACUUUUUUAAUUUAUCUAAGAAAAUUUGAAAAGUAAAAAUAUUAUACAAGAAAGGAAAUUCUAGGAGCUAGAUCUAAUUACAGAUUAGGUGAAUUACUAAUUGCUAAUUACUAUUGCUAGUUUUUUAGUAAUGGGGGAUUAGCUCAGCUGGCUAGAGCGCUUGAUUUGCAUUCAAGAGGUCAUCGGUUCGACUCCGAUAUUCUCCACAAUUCUAUAGAUUAAUUUAAAUUUAAUUAAGCAUUUGUUAUCCAAUACUUAAUGCUUUUUCACUUUAUUUUAGUUGAUUGACUAGAAAUACGUUCAUUGACAUAUUGAAAAGAUACAAAUAGUAUCAAUUUAUUUUUUUUAUUAGUACUUGUACUAGUAUUAAAAAUAGGUUUAUACGAGCAAAUAAUAAAUUAGUAAAUUUUUUAGAUACAAUUUAAGAGAAAGAGUAAAAAAGUUAC